rnacentral:rRNA from 1 species
UACGGGGGGGGCAAGCGUUGUUCGGAAUUACUGGGCGUAAAGGGCUCGUAGGUGGCCAACUAAGUCAGACGUGAAAUCCCUCGGCUUAACUGGGGAACUGCGUCUGAUACUGGAUGGCUUGAGUUUGGGAGAGGGAUGCGGAAUUCCAGGCGUAGCGGUGAAAUGCGUAGAUAUCUGGAGGAACACCGGUGGCGGAGGCGGCAUCCUGGACCAACACUGACACUGAGGAGCGAAAGCCAGGGGAGCAAACGGG